CCUACGGGAGGCUGCAGUGAGGAAUAUUUGUCAAUGGACGAGAGUCUGAACCAGCCAAGUAGCGUGAAGGAUGACUGCCCUAUGGGUUGUAAACUUCUUUUAUAUGGGAAUAAAAUGUUCCACGUGUGGGAUUUUGUAUGUACCAUAUGAAUAAGGAUCGGCUAACUCCGUGCCAGCAGCCGCGUUAAUACGGAGGAUCCGAGCGUUAUCCGGAUUUAUUGGGUUUAAAGGGAGCGUAGGUGGAUUGUUAAGUCAGUUGUGAAAGUUUGCGGCUCAACCGUAAAAUUGCAGUUGAAACUGGCAGUCUUGAGUACAGUAGAGGUGGGCGGAAUUCGUGGUGUAGCGGUGAAAUGCUUAGAUAUCACGAAGAACUCCGAUUGCGAAGGCAGUUCACUGGACUGCAACUGACACUGAGGCUCGAAAGUGUGGGUAUCAAACAGGAUUAGAUACCCUGGUAGUC
rnacentral:rRNA from 1 species